UACGUAGGUGGCAAGCGUUGUCCGGAUUUACUGGGCGUAAAGGGCGCGUAGGCGGCCAGCACAAGUCAGUUGUGAAAUCUCCGAGCUUAACUCGGAAAGGUCAACUGAUACUGUGCGGCUAGAGUGCGGAAGGGGCAACUGGAAUUCUUGGUGUAGCGGUGAAAUGCGUAGAUAUCAAGAGGAACACCUGCGGCGAAGGCGGGUUGCUGGGCCGACACUGACGCUGAUGCGCGAAAGCUAGGGGAGCGAACGGG
rnacentral:rRNA from 1 species